GGACUACUGGGGUUUCUAAUCCUGUUUGCUCCCCUAGCUUUCGUGCCUCAGUGUCAGGAGUCGUCCAGGGACUCGCCUUCGCCACUGGUGUUCCUCUCGAUAUCUACGCAUUUCACUGCUACACCGAGAAUUCCAGUCCCCCCUCCGACCCUCAAGCCAGGUAGUAUUCAAUGCAGUUUCGGAGUUAAGCUCCGAGAUUUCACAUCAAACUUACCCGACCACCUACGCACCCUUUACGCCCAGUGAAUCCGAACAACGCUUGGGACCUCUGUAUUACCGCGGCUGCUGGCAC
rnacentral:rRNA from 1 species